CCUCUACCGGAAAGACUCGAGCCUGACCGAAUUUCCCUCGUCGUGAUAUUAGUCACAACAAAAAAAUCGUGGUGAUCGCGCAAAAAGUUUUCGGCGCUGCUUAUUUUUCGCGUCCCCUCGGCAGCAAGGUGCUGAUCACAAACACGUCGGCGCCCCGUCCAGGAUUCGUCGACGACGCGAAACUGCACAAUUACGUAGGAGUUAUAGGGCAAUAUCAGCAUUCACAAUGGCGGGAGAA